CCAGGUUGAGGUAGUCAGUUGUAUAGUUUAGAAUGACAUCAGGGAGGUAACUGUACAGCCUCCUAGCUCUUCUUGG
rnacentral:pre_miRNA from 12 species